UGGGGAAUAUUGCACAAUGGAGGGAACUCUGAUGCAGCGACGCCGCGUGAGUGAUGAAGGACUUCGUUUCGUAAAACUCUGUUCUAUGGGAAGAAAAGGACUGUACCAUAGGAGAAAGCUCCGGCUAAAUACGUGCCAGCAGCCGCGGUAAUACGUAUGGAGCGAGCGUUGUCCGGAAUUAUUGGGCGUAAAGGGUGCGCAGGCGGCUUUACAAGUUGGAUGUGAAAUAUUGUGGCUCAACCACAAACGCGCAUCCAAAACUGCAAAGCUUGAGUUAAGGAGAGGUAAGUGGAAUUCCUGGUGUAGCGGUGGAAUGCGUAGAUAUCAGGAGGAAUACCGGUGGCGAAGGCGACUUACUGGACUUAAACUGACGCUCAGGCACGAAAGCGUGGGGAGCAAACAGG
rnacentral:rRNA from 1 species